CGCAUCUGUGCAUGCAGCAUAUCAAUAAGCGGAGGAAAAGAAACUAACAAGGAUUCCCCUAGUAACGGCGAGUGAAGCGGGAAGAGCUCAAAUUUGAAAUCUUAAAGGGUUUCCCUUUACGAAUUGUAGUUUAAAGAAGUGUUUUCUGUUGAGGUUUUGGUAAAAGUUCUUUGGAAUAGGACAUCAUAGAGGGUGAGAAUCCCGUAUUUGACCUUUACUUUCAACUUUGUGAUACACUUUCAAAGAGUCGGAUUGUUUGGGAAUGCAGUCCAAAAUGGGUGGUAAAUUUCAUCUAAAGCUAAAUAUUGGCGAGAGACCGAUAGCGAACAAGUACCGUGAGGGAAAGAUGAAAAGAACUUUGAAAAGAGAGUUAAACAGUACGUGAAAUUGUCAAAAGGGAAGCGUUUGACACCAGUGUUGUUUUUCUGAAAAUCAAUUAAAGAACUGUUUAUGCUAAGCUUGUUUAGACUUUAUCAGCUAACUGUUUAGUUUUGAGCUUUUCUUUAAUGCACUUUUCAGUUAACAAGUCAACAUCAAUUUCUUUUGCUGUAAAAAAGCUUGAGGAAGGUGGCUUGAGAUUCGUCUUAAGUGUUUAUAGCCUCUUGCCUAUGCAGUCGGAGAGAUUGAGGUCUGCAGCGUAGAUCCUUCGGGGCUAAAUGCAUUUGUGCUAAGUUAUAGCAUUUUAUAGACAACUUGUUGACUAUGAUUUGUCUUGUAGCUUACUCGCUUAUGUUAUUUUACCUACGCUUAGGAUGUUGAGUCAUCACACAUCUCU
rnacentral:rRNA from 1 species